GCCUGGCUGGCUCAUGCGGUAGGGCUUGUGACUCUUGAUCUCAGGGUUGUGAGUUCAAGUCCCAUGCUGGGUG
rnacentral:tRNA from 1 species